rnacentral:rRNA from 1 species
UGGGGGAAUUUUGGACAAUGGGCGAAAGCCUGAUCCAGCAAUGCCGCGUGUGUGAAGAAGGCCUUCGGGUUGUAAAGCACUUUUGUCCGGAAAGAAAUCCUUGGCUCUAAUACAGUCGGGGGAUGACGGUACCGGAAGAAUAAGCACCGGCUAACUACGUGCCAGCAGCCGCGGUAAUACGUAGGGUGCAAGCGUUAAUCGGAAUUACUGGGCGUAAAGCGUGCGCAGGCGGUUUUUGUAAGACGGAUGUGAAAUCCCCGGGCUUAACCUGGGAACUGCAUUCGUGACUGCAAGGCUAGAGUAUGGCAGAGGGGGGUAGAAUUCCACGUGUAGCAGUGAAAUGCGUAGAGAUGUGGAGGAAUACCGAUGGCGAAGGCAGCCCCCUGGGCCAAUACUGACGCUCAUGCACGAAAGCGUGGGGAGCAAACAGGAUUAGAUACCCUGGUAGUCCACGCCCUAAACGAUGUCAACUAGUUGUUGGGGAUUCAUUUCCUUAGUAACGUAGCUAACGCGUGAAGUUGACCGCCUGGGGGAGUACGGUCGCAAGAUUAAAAC